UACGGGGGGGGGCAAGCGUUGUUCGGAAUUACUGGGCGUAAAGGGCUCGUAGGCGGCCAACUAAGUCAGACGUGAAAUCCCCUCGGCUUAACCGGGGAACUGCGUCUGAUACUGGAUGGCUUGAGGUUGGGAGAGGGAUGCGGAAUUCCAGGUGUAGCGGUGAAAUGCGUAGAUAUCUGGAGGAACACCGGUGGCGAAGGCGGCAUCCUGGACCAAUUCUGACGCUGAGGAGCGAAAGCCAGGGGAGCAAACGGG
rnacentral:rRNA from 1 species